UUAAUUUUUGAUCAGUGAUAUAGUUAUUGAAUUAUUUGCAAAGAACCACAAAACCACCCUAUUUCCUCAUUUUUCAAACCUCUUGGGGGUGAGUUAUCAUGACCAAAUUUCACACAGAUUACUUUUACACGGUAAUGAAAAAAAAGGGGGGGGGGCAAGCAUCAAAAAUAAUAAUGUUAAAAAAUAAGGACCACUCUAUAAUAUAUAUUAUAUAUGAAAAAAAAGAACCAACAGAAUUUUACUAUAUUUAUAUUGUCUCAGGAGAUGUUGUAACGGGCACGUAUUUUCGAGGGACACCCUGUAUCGCGUACGCGUGGUUACAGUGCCGGAAAACAACUAAUCAAAAUGCCGCGGAUAUAGUAAAAUAUAAGAGUUCUCGAACAACCGCGCCGAGCUUUUAUACGUGCAUUCUUAGCGACUGAUUUAUUACUCGAUUUCUAUUUCCCAGAUUGGUUAUGAUAUUAUAUAUUAUCGCGAGUACGGUGUUCGGCAUAAUAUCAUUACGCGUUCGCGAAUAUCGUUUACGAAACCGAAUUCAUUAAUAUAUAUAUAAUGUAUAACUUUAUGAGCGAGGUUGACAGUUUCUUUUAAUAUAACAUUGUCCCAUAAAACGCUGGAGCCGUGAACGAGUGAAUUACUAUCGGCGGUACCGAGGGUCGUUUGCUCGAAAACGCGUAUAGAGCGGUUAGGUUUUCGAACAUUUUUUCCGUGUUUAUCUCGAGGAAAGAGGAAACUGCUAAUUGGACUCGGGUUUCGAAAAUGUCUAAACGCUAUAGACAAACGAGUUUGAAUAUUAACGACGAUCAGCAACACGGUUCGCCAUU